rnacentral:rRNA from 1 species
GUAAGGGAUAUUGGACAAUGGGGGAAACCCUGAUCCAGCAACGCCGCGUGGGCGAUGAAGGUCUUCGGAUCGUAAAGCCCUUUUCUGCGGGAAGAGGAAGGACGGUACCGCAGGAAUAAGUCUCGGCUAACUACGUGCCAGCAGCCGCGGUAAAACGUAGGAGGCUAGCGUUAUCCGGAUUUACUGGGCGUAAAGCGCGUGCAGGCGGUUCUGUAAGUUGGGUGUGAAAUCUCCUGGCUCAACUAGGAGGGGUCGUCCAAAACUACAGGGCUUGAGGGCAGGAGAGGGAAGUAGAAUUCCCGGUGUAGCGGUAAUAUGCGCAGAUAUCGGGAGGAAUACCAGUGGCGAAGGCGGCUUCCUGGCCUGUACCUGACGCUCAGACGCGAAAGCUAGGGGAGCGAACGGGAUUAGAUACCCUUGUAGUCC